GCAUCUUAAUCUUUUCCACUCCUGGCGAGACAGUGCUGGAUUGGAGAUACCAGAUGCAAGAGGAGAGCAGGGGAAAUCCAGACAAGCUCCCUUUCACCACAGUGGGACUUGUCUCUACACCUUUGCAACAUUU
rnacentral:snoRNA from 1 species